UCGAUUUCUUUCCCCCUUUCCAGAACCCAUUCAUUUCCUCCUCUAGAUUUCUUCUUCCCCCAGAAAUCCCCUUCGUGGCCCAUCACAGACCUAAUUCUUGCAACUCAUUCCAUCGUUUACAAUCGAAGUUGACCCACGAAACCAACGUAAGUGGUCCUCAAGCACGAUGUCUGUAGAAUCAUUCGUCUUCAUCAAGCACGGCAACCAAGCACGAUUCCUCUUCCUCAAGCACGAUUUGUCUUCAUCAAGCACGAUUUGUCUUCCUCAAGCAAUAUUUCCCCCAUUCCCACGAAAGCCCCACCUUCCCACUCGAAACCGCAGUCCAUUUGAAACCGAAACCCUAACCACUAUCCAACCCGCGACGUAAUCCCUUGAGGUUGUUGGGUACUUUGCUUGAGAACAGCAGAGUGCUAGAGUGGAUCUAUCACAGGCCAUCAUCUCAUCGAGGAGAUGCAAUUUGGAUUGGAUGGAUCACAACGGGUGUAACCUGACGGGGAUGGAUCACAACUGGCGCAAUGAGAUGUUUUAAUUUUAAUAUUCAGAUACUAUGUUUUGGAAUGUAAGUCAUGGAAUGUAUUGGAACUGUGUAUUGGAAUGUAUUUUGAUGUGAGUGUAUUGGACUAUAUUGGAACUGUGUACUGGAAUGUAAGUGUGCUUUGAAUGGCCAUAUAUAGCAAGUUGGAGUUUUGUGUA